rnacentral:rRNA from 1 species
CCUACGGGAGGCAGCAGUGGGGAAUUUUGGACAAUGGGCGCAAGCCUGAUCCAGCAAUGCCGCGUGAGUGGAGAAGGCCUUCGGGUUGUAAAGCUCUUUUGUCAGGGAAGAAACGGUGGGAGCUAAUAUCUCCCGCUAAUGACGGUACCUGAAGAAUAAGCACCGGCUAACUACGUGCCAGCAGCCGCGGUAAUACGUAGGGUGCAAGCGUUAAUCGGAAUUACUGGGCGUAAAGCGUGCGCAGGCGGUUUUGUAAGUCUGUCGUGAAAGCCCCGGGCUCAACCUGGGAAUUGCGAUGGAGACUGCAAGGCUUGAAUCUGGCAGAGGGGGGUAGAAUUCCACGUGUAGCAGUGAAAUGCGUAGAGAUGUGGAGGAACACCGAUGGCGAAGGCAGCCCCCUGGGUCAAGAUUGACGCUCAUGCACGAAAGCGUGGGGAGCGAACAGGAUUAGAUACCCUGGUAGUCCACGCCCUAAACGAUGUCUACUAGUUGUCGGGUUUUAAUUAACUUGGUAACGCAGCUAACGCGUGAAGUAGACCGCCUGGGGAUACGGUCGCAAGAUUAAAACCUCAAAGGAAUUGACGG